UGUUUCAGUACAAUUAACAUACACUCAGCCAAAUAACCUUAAGAUUUCCAUAAGGUCCAACUUAUGAAACGGCCUUUAAAUAAUUCAUAAUGAUUCGGAUGAAUUUCAUAAGGUCACUCUAUGACGUAAAAUCGUCUCGCAGCUUGGCUUUUAUUGAUGUUUAGCAACUUGGUAUUCUCAAGCGUCGGUAGCCGUGUGGAUAAAACACGGGCUCGGUGAUCCCGACGUUCAUGGAUCGAAUCCAGUCUGCAUCAUUUUAAGAUUUUUUUGUUCUUUUCAUAAGCCUAUCUUAUGAAAUUUGUCAUAGCAACACGGAGAAAAAUAAUUAGUAAUCACAAACGGAAUUCGGUUUAGUUUAACCGGAUUUUUGGUUUGAAUUCGGCACAACCGGUAUAUUAGUUUGAUUUGACUACCCGUGGUAGUUGUUAUUAACUAAAGUAUUGGUUUGUUUCUCUGACGCCUCAGCGGUUAAUUUCUACAACCGUCCGUUUGAAAAUACCAUUAAGUUGGUUGUUUCGUUUUGACAGUAGAGGAUAUAAACGAUUUUGUUUGUUGUUUCAACUGCCGUAUGCCGUUUGUUUUUAACAAGCUUUGGUUUGUUUUCUGUGUGCAUUUACCAUUUAAAACAAUCCAAACUGUUAGUUGAAACUACAAACCCCUCCGGUUGAAUCACCUCCACCCCCCUACUACCCAAAACCACCCUUUUUCGAUGACAAAAGAAAAGUUUUUUUUUAAAGCUGUAAAAUGCACAUAUUUAUUUUCCGUAAAACAAUACUUAAUAUAAUUCGCUGAAAACAUCUUUUUUGUUCUGGUCAAGUUUUAGAUGCCGUGCCGUUACCUUUUCCCAUAAAUUAUCUGACAUAACUAUUAUAAUAACGAAAUAUCACAUGCUGACGAUGCCGGAUCUUUGCUAGCGGCUCGACUUUCACGGCGUUCCUUGAUUACAACUUUCCUCCGGCAUACAUUCAUUUCAUCUUAAAACACAACGAGAAUCACGGCGCAGAAUCAAAAUCCAGCAGAUUGGCAACCCGGAUAAAAACGAACAAUUAAGGCUAUGGGAGAAACAAUUGAAAAACAACAGAUUCUUAUGUUAACAUUGCUUUCUAAUGUGAAUGUAUUAUACAGUAUUUUUAAAAUUAAAUUCUUUAUAGUGAUUACAAUAGGUUUACAUUAGAUUCCAUGGUUACAUAGCCAAAUAAUAGAUUAACAUUUGAAUUCAUUGUUAUUUUUGGAUUCAGCGUUCAAACCAUUAGUUUACAAUAGAAUGUAUCAGUAACAUUGAAAUGUACCGUUUUUCAAUGGUCUGGACGUUUCAGAAAAAAAAACAGCUUUUGAGUAAUUCCGAAACAGUGUGUAUCGAUGACAGCCAAGUUUCGUUGAAAUCAGCUCGGUCGUCGGCGGUAAGAAAUUUCGAAGAGUAGUUUCGUGUGCGGAAAAAUGUGGAAAAUUCACGCUCAACUGCGUAAAUUUUCCGCACGGUAGUAAAUAUAGUGUGGUGCAGUGCUAAAUCCUUGGCUACAUCAUUCAACAGUAGCGGCAUUUCAACAGUCACAAGGACGUCAAGCCGGUGCAUAAGCAAUCAACCCAGAGCUUGUUCCGAUGAAUGCGCACGAUCUGGAUUGGUUCCUGCGGAGAAAAGAGGGCGAGGGCAAGGUGCACUGCGAAGAGUACGGCCGGAUGCUGAAUGCCGAUCUAAGCAAGAUCUGCAUAAGGGACAAAUAGUAUAAUAGACUUAUUGUAAAAACUCUGAUUUUUUCCAUUCCUUUAAUUUGACUGCAAUAGUUUUAUCAUCAAACUCUUUUGGUGAAAUCAAAUGUGAAACUGAGUAGAACCGUAGAGCCAUCUUUUGCAUUUGGUAGCUUUGUAAGGUCUUUUAAUAUAGGUUCGCUCUUUAAACACGGAAUACAUGCAUGCGUUUGAAUCAAAUUCUAAAUUGUAUGUUGUAUUCCACAAGCUGUAGUUCAUCAAAUGUUCUUAAGUGCUGCAAUAAUGGUUAAACACGCUGUAAUGUUACAUUUGUACCUCAUCACCCACUAAUUGCAGCUACAUUAGUGGACUAAUAACACUUAGCGCGCUUCGGCACGGUUCCAUCAUGCCGCUUAUAGUGUUGCCACAUAUAAUGCUUAGUCUGCUAAACCCAGUUAUCUGGCUGGUGGGGCAUGGGAGCCUAAGUUUCGACCAUCAAUGCAAUCAGACGUUAUUUGAACUACAAAAUGAGCGAUCCAAAUAUUUGAAGAACUAAAACUAUAUAGAAGCUUGUGUAUAAUCAACAUUUAACGAACCUAAUCUAUGCAAUAUUUUGCAUUUUAACACUUCGAACGAUCUUCAAGUAUAGGUUCAAGUUGUAGUAUAUCGAGUAUUUUUAAGUGCUACAAUGAAGGUUAAGCACGCUGUAAUGUUACUUUUGUACCUCAUCACCCACUAAAUGCAACUACAUUAGUGGUCUAAUAACACUUAGCGCGCUUCGGCACGGUUCCAUCAUGCCGCUUAUAGUGUUGCCACAUAUAAUGCUUAGUCUGCUAAACCCAGUUAUCUGGCUGUGGGGCAUGGGAGCCAACGCUUCAAUCAUCAAUGCAAUUAAACAUUACUCGGUUUACUACAUGAGUGAUCCAAAUAUUUCAUAAUUGUUCGAUCUGUUUUUUGAAAUGUAGCUUAAAAUAUACAAGCUUCUAGUCCAAAUGCAUAAUAAUAGUUCAAUUUCGCUUCAUUCAGGAUUUACUCAAGCAGUUUAUAUUUUUUGGUCAGUUAAACUUAGAGGCUUCCUUAGAGGUUGAAGUUAGAAUUUUCUGUUUCACAAUAGAAAACAAUUUCCUUGACAAUUUCCAAACCAUUCGAUUUAAUGUAAAAAUAGUGCAAAACAGUAUGUUCUGUAUCACAAUAGACAACAAUUUCAAAACAAUUGAAUCUAACGUGGAGCCAGUAAUAAAGUCACUGCUCAAAGCAACACGUUUACCGUACAUUUCACUGUUUAGAACAAUUUAAAAACAUAAGAAUCUUCUGUAUUACGAUAGAAAACAAUUCCCACACCAUUGAAUCAAUUGUGGAACCAGGAGUGAAAUCACUACUCAGAACAAUACGUUUACCGUUCGAUUCACUGUUUGAAACAAUUCGAAAACAUAAGAAUCUUCUGUAUCAUAAUAGAAAACAAUACCCAAACAAUUGAAUACAAUGUAAAAACAGUACAAACAGUAUGUUGUCUUCACAAUAGAAAACAAUUUCAAUACAAUUGAAUCAAAUGUGGAACCAGAAAUAAAAUUACUACCCAAAACAAUACGUUUACUGAGCAUUUCACUGUUUGAAACAAUUCGAAAACAUAAGAAUCUUCUGUAUCACAUUAGAAAACCAUGCCCAAACCAUUGAAUCUAAUGUAAAAUCAAAGUUUAAAACAGUAUGUUUUCUGCUUAUUUAACUGUUCAAAACAAUACAAAUACAUAAAAAUCUUCUGUAUAUUUGAUACCACGUAUCGGUAUUACCAACAUUUCAUUUACAUUAGAAUCUUAUGUUUUGCGAAAAAAUAUGUAUGGAAAAAAGUCCUUUUUUGUAUUGUUAUGAUACUUAACAACCUAUACAAUUCAAUGUGAAAUCCUCAUUCACAUUUGAUUCUAUUGUUAGAAACAUUUGAUUCUAUUGUUUUUCUAUUGUUAUUUUAACAUUGAAUUCUAUUGUGAGAGCAUGGUUUUCAGUGGUACUGUCACAUUAGAAUCCUAUGUUUUUCUAUUGUAUUUUUUAUCCGGGAAACCAAAUAUCCAUCCCACCGGGGAUCCGGGCCAAGAUUCAAGGCCAUUGUUUCACGUAGCUACUGUUUUCUGAAAAUCAAUGAUAUUCAAGACUAUCGUUUCACACAUUUAAUAUUCAAAUAUUUGAACUUACCUGGAGCUGUAAAGCGUUAUGAAAUAAUAAAAAAUAGCAGAAGAUUUUACAAUACUAAACUGCUCGAUCACUGAUCAGACUUCGCAAAAUGAGAAAAAUGUGGAAUGUGGCUUGUGAAAUAAGGAAAAAGAAAAAAGAACAAAAACAAACCAGCAACUUGGUUUGGUUUGAACUAUUAUGUUUGUUGUUUUUUCGUUAACCGGAAUAUUGGUUUGUUUUAACCACAGGGAUGGUAGAAUCAAACUAAUAUUGUGGUUUGUGUAUGCCGGUUGAAUUAACCUUAGAUUUAGUAAAAUUAAACGGUUGCAUUCCGGUAAAAAUGACAAAUAGUAGUUCAAAGUAACUGACGCCCUUCGUUAUUAUGAAGGAAAAAGCUGGCAGUAGAAACAACAAAUUUUACGGUUUGUAUCGAACCAAAAUAGUGGUGUAAAAACAACAAAUGUUCGAUUUGAAAUUACUAUUUUGUUGGUUUAUGAAUCAACAAACGUGUUUGUUGUUUCAAACUGUCGUGCUUUUUCUCCGUGAA